rnacentral:misc_RNA from 1 species
UACGGAAGGUGCAAGCGUUGUUCGGAAUGACUGGGCGUAAAGCGCACGUAGGCGGGUUCGUAAGUCGGAUGUGAAAGCCCCGGGCUUAACCUGGGAAUUGCACCCGAAACUACGAAUCUUGAAUGCUUGAGAGGUUGGUGGAAUUCCUGGUGUAGGAGUGAAAUCCGUAGAUAUCAGGAGGAACAUCGGCGGCGAAGGCGGCCAACUGGUGAUGCAUUGACGCUGAGGUGCGAAAGCGUGGGGAGCAAACAGG